ACGAACGCUGGCGGCGUGCUUAACACAUGCAAGUCGAACGGAAAGGCCCUGCUUUUGUGGGGUGCUCGAGUGGCGAACGGGUGAGUAACACGUGAGUAACCUGCCCUUGACUUUGGGAUAACUUCAGGAAACUGGGGCUAAUACCGGAUAGGAGCUCCUGCUGCAUGGUGGGGGUUGGAAAGUUUCGGCGGUUGGGGAUGGACUCGCGGCUUAUCAGCUUGUUGGUGGGGUAGUGGCUUACCAAGGCUUUGACGGGUAGCCGGCCUGAGAGGGUGACCGGCCACAUUGGGACUGAGAUACGGCCCAGACUCCUACGGGAGGCAGCAGUGGGGAAUAUUGCACAAUGGGCGGAAGCCUGAUGCAGCAACGCCGCGUGCGGGAUGACGGCCUUCGGGUUGUAAACCGCUUUCGCCUGUGACGAAGCGUGAGUGACGGUAAUGGGUAAAGAAGCACCGGCUAACUACGUUCCAGCAGCCGCGGUGAUACGUAGGGUGCGAGCGUUGUCCGGAUUUAUUGGGCGUAAAGGGCUCGUAGGUGGUUGAUCGCGUCGGAAGUGUAAUCUUGGGGCUUAACCCUGAGCGUGCUUUCGAUACGGGUUGACUUGAGGAAGGUAGGGGAGAAUGGAAUUCCUGGUGGGGCGGUGGAAUGCGCAGAUAUCAGGAGGAACACCAGUGGCGAAGGCGGUUCUCUGGGCCUUUCCUGACGCUGAGGAGCGAAAGCGUGGGGAGCGAACAGGCUUAGAUACCCUGGUAGUCCACGCUGUAAACGGUGGGUACUAGGUGUGGGGUCCAUUCCACGGGUUCCGUGCCGUAGCUAACGCUUUAAGUACCCCGCCUGGGGAGUACGGCCGCAAGGCUAAAACUCAAAGGAAUUGACGGGGCCCCGCACAAGCGGCGGAGCAUGCGGAUUAAUUCGAUGCAACGCGUAGAACCUUACCUGGGUUUGACAUGGAUCGGGAGCGCUCAGAGAUGGGUGUGCCUCUUUUGGGGUCGGUUCACAGGUGGUGCAUGGCUGUCGUCAGCUCGUGUCGUGAGAUGUUGGGUUAAGUCCCGCAACGAGCGCAACCCUUGUUCACUGUUGCCAGCACGUUAUGGUGGGGACUCAGUGGAGACCGCCGGGGUCAACUCGGAGGAAGGUGGGGAUGACGUCAAGUCAUCAUGCCCCUUAUGUCCAGGGCUUCACGCAUGCUACAAUGGCUGGUACAGAGAGUGGCGAGCCUGUGAGGGUGAGCGAAUCUCGGAAAGCCGGUCUCAGUUCGGAUUGGGGUCUGCAACUCGACCUCAUGAAGUCGGAGUCGCUAGUAAUCGCAGAUCAGCAACGCUGCGGUGAAUACGUUCCCGGGGCUUGUACACACCGCCCGUCAAGUCAUGAAAGUUGGUAACACCCGAAGCCGGUGGCCUAACCGUUGUGGGGGAGCCGUCGAAGGUGGGACUGGUGAUUAGGAC
rnacentral:rRNA from 1 species